GUGGAACUUGCACCAAUGGAAAUCCGAACCUUUCUUGUUGAGUUUAACGAAAGCUUCCAUCGUUAUUUAUUUGAUGCCUAACCUAAUGUGGCUGAAAAUGUGGUGGAGGCUUGAGAGGCCCUUGGCUUCUGGAAUCCUGGACUUUUGCUGUCAUGUAAAUAGACGUUUGAGUUAUGUUUGUACCGUUGGACAAAAAACAUAAAAAUCAUGGAGCCAUGUGGUUUAUGAAAUGAGGUUGUACUAAGUAUCAAGUUAGCUAAGCUACUAUUGCAAACGACCUGGAUACCUUGUUAACUUGUGGCAUAUAGUAGCUGCUAUGUGACUUUUGAAACUCCUGAGUGCAGAUUGAUCUU
rnacentral:lncRNA from 1 species